rnacentral:rRNA from 1 species
GAUCAUGGCUCAGGAUGAACGCUAGCUACAGGCUUAACACAUGCAAGUCGAGGGGAAACGACAUCGAAAGCUUGCUUUUGAUGGGCGUCGACCGGCGCACGGGUGAGUAACGCGUAUCCAACCUGCCCAUCAUUUGGGAAUAACCUUGCGAAAGUAAGACUAAUGCCCAAUGAUAUCCCACGAAGGCAUCCGAAUGGGAUUAAAGAUUUAUCGGUGAUGGGUGGGGAUGCGUCUGAUUAG